UGCCAGGCUCAGCCCAGGAGCCAUCAGCCCACCUUAGGCCCACUUGCACAAACCCAGAGGAGCACAGGGGCACAGUGGCAGGUUCCAGUAGCUGAGGAAGCUGAGAUCAAGGGAUAGCUACUUGUCAUACUGUCUGAAACCAGCCACUGACACACAGAAACACACAGGAUGUUGCAGAGCCAAUAGCAGAAGUUGACUGGAAAAAGGAACUAUCAUUUGUCAGGAGGGUAGCUCCAAGGAAAGCUGCAGAAGAAGAUGCACUGCAUGUUACUUCAGAGGCAGGAAAUCCCUCUGUUCCCAAUGGUCAAAGGACAGGGCAGCAGAAGGCGGCAAAAUGGAGCAGCAUCCACCCCUGACUUGGAGCACCCAUGAUUAAGACCUCUGUAAGACUUGCUUCCCCUCCACAGCCUUUCUUAUGGGAUCCCUUCUGCAGUUAUAUUUAACUCAGGCUGUAACAAAAGGAUGCUGGCACAGGUCCUUUACUACUGAGAAAUAACCCAGGAGUGGGAAUAUAACUCACCAUCUUCAGAGGGGCUGUUUUUAUGUACUGUAGCAAUUUCAUUACUGUGACAGUUAGUCAAUGCAAUAGAGCCCUUGUGUAAAUGAGCAGGAGAUCUUUUUCCUUUAUAAAUUAACACUAAAGUAUUUCUCUUCAUUUAGGGAUGAAUGAACUUGACCCACCUCAAGCUCUUUGUGCACUGAGUUUUUUGGGACAUGAGUUCCAAUCCAGUUCUGAGUAC